AGCUAAUCUUACUAAAGAACACAAAUGUGCCUUUUCUUAAACUUGAAUCGUCCUGGUAAAAGUACGGAUUUUCACUUGACCUGUGGCUGUCUAUAUGUCGAAGGCUUCUGAAUUUCUCUAGGCGUAGAAUUGAACAAUAGUGAGACAUUGUAGGCGCAGGCCUGAAUAAUAGUGAGACAUGGUAUCAACUAGCGAAAAGUGCAAGAUGCAGGAUCAGCUUUUAUUUUUCCAGUUCAUGGUACAUUUGUUGCUCUCUGUCACCUCUUUGAAAGCACUGCAUACACCUGCAGUACAGUAAACUUUCUCAGGGUUGGUUCUCAUAUUUUCACACUGAGCUUAGGCUAACGCUGGAUGGCUAAGCACCUAUUUAUUUCUAGUUUUGAUCUGUUGAUACAUGGUGAAAUGAACAGAACGAUAUAGCUGGGCGUGCUCCUAUUUUAUGUCUAUGUAAAGAAGCAAUGCAAUCUAUAUCGGAUGCAAGUUUGGAAAUGUAUUAUUUGUACAUGCUCCUAUUUUAUGUUGGCCCCACAUCUCGUAACUCUCAAAUUUCUUACAUCGGCUGGCGAAUGUGGGCUAACUCUGAACUGCUAGAUUUUUAUAUGUGGUUGGUUGGACACCUUAUGUUGGCGGACACUGACCUUCUCCCAGCCUGUCAAUAUUCACGAAAGCUAAGUUUGAUUUAUUUCUAUUGCCAAGAGGUGGACACUGAUUCUCAUCCAGCCUGUCAAUCUUCACUAAUAUUUUGGUUUAACCUGCUCUCAAUGCAAGAGUAAUCAUGUAUAACAGGGAAAUGCGAUUUUUCCUUCAGGUUAUUGCUUGUUUGUUUUUUGUAGCAUACACCAGAUGGGAAUGUGCUAUUUUUGAUGAGUAAAUGCGAUUCUAACUGUGCUCCAUCAAUUUUUUUUCCGUAGCCAUGGAUACGUAAAGAAAAUCAGCACCAUUAUUUUUGUUUGAAAUUCUAUAUACUGUAAGACUUUGAUUUCGUUCACAUUUGACCUAUUUUCCUAUCUUGCAGAGCCAUCCAUUCAAAUAUGGUUAAUAUCUUCUACCCUGUAUUUACUGUACCACUAGAAUAGAGACGUGCAUUUAUUUUAGUCGAUCAAUUUUUCUGCUGUAGCAAUACUUUCUGUUGUCAUCCUGGUUGUGCUCCAAUUCACUAUUUCCAUGAAUUAAUGUUAGGUACUCCGUCAGCAUGUUCACAUUAUGUGCUAGCCUGCUUUUAAAGGUCUAUUCAAGUGGAUGACGACAACUGUAUGAGGGUAGAGAGGAAUGAGUUUUCUGGAACACGUCUUCGUAUUUUAGUGUAUGGUGGGUACAGGUAUUGUUUGGUUCAAAAUUUAGACCUUUUUACCAAUAAUUAGUAGCAAAAUUUAGGAUUGUUGAGAAGAGAGGUGAAGCUAAAGGCUUCAGUACUAUUCUUAGGAUACUAUAUGUUGCUUCCAGGCCAUGUAUAAGAAUUGUUCAGUUACUUGAGAGAUUGUUGAACAUAUGAAAUUGAUGGAAGUCUUUGGGCACCCUCAA